UGGCUGAUCAGAUGAUUUAUGACAACGUUGUCGAUGUUGAUGCUAGCAAGGAGUCGUGGAAUAUUAAGGGUUAAGGUGCUUUUAUUGUGAAACAGACUAACAAAAAUAAUCCUAAUGUAGUGUCCAGCCUUGACAUGAUAUUGAUGGAUCAACAGAGUACCAAGAUUCAUGCUACAAUGAAAAAGAAGCGACUUUGACAAUGUCCUUGAAGAAGGAGCUGUCAGGGUCAAUUAUACAACAACACCAUCUCGAUCCGCCGCUUUCCAUCGAUGCGGUGGAAUUCCAAUUAUCUUUUGGUAAUAAUUUUUUCAACAGUGGCAUAAAGGUUAUAUAGUUAUUUUCUUGCAAUUUACUGCAAUUGAUAACAAACAUUACUCGUAUAAUAAAAAGGUUAUAUGAAGAACAUACUGUCAAAUAAAAGGUUUGAAGAUCAUUUAUUUUUUUCCCUACAAUUAUUAUGAACAUGUCAAUAAGGUUGGUUAAUUGUAGAUAAUUCUUAUUAGUAAUUUGGCCGUAUCAGUAAGUUUGUUUAUGUGAGUAGUUUUGGUCAUUAGAGUAUCACAAGAUUAUAGUUCUCAUUGGUGGGUAUACCCGUGAAUACAAGGUAAUAAUAGUUGUUAGUAGUUUUGGUCAUUAGAGUAUUACUGGAUUAAAGCCUGGUCAUGAUGGUGCAAGGCCUCUAAUGACAACUGCUUUAGAUAGGUAAUAGGUUAAUAGAACAGGGAGCUCUAGGACGAGGCGGCAGGGAAAAGUGGAAGUCAUUUGAUGCAGGUGAAGGUAAUUUCAAUAGCUCAACAUAUCAGUUUUGGAAUUCUAGCACACAUGGGAAAGUGAAGUGUUUUAUAUUUGCUAUAGAUGAUUAGCUUUUGUUGCGUUUGCCAUAUAGAGUGGCAAGUCCCGUUGCAACACGCGUGUAGGUAAAUUGAUACAAUAUACAUAUAUCUGUUUGUUUUGUGUAUAGAAGAUCGUCAGUAACAGUUAUAGAUAUUGGCCGACUUACAUGAAGAAGAAACAGUCUCCACUUAUUACAGCUUUUCAGUGUAAUAAGCUUCCGGUAGUAAUUGACACGUGACACAUGCUGCUCAAAAACGAUUAUUUAGAAGACCUGCAAGAAAACUUUGUGCAGAAAAGGAACUUGAAUAGUCCAAAACGAUGCGUAUUAUUUUCAACCCCUUUACUAAUAUCCAAGGAGGGUGUGUUUCUUCCAUUGGAACCAGAACUUGAUAGUUUACUUGAUAAUUAACGGAUGCAGAAUUCAUAACUUCACAUUGAGCAGAUUUGGGAUACUACAUGAUUCUUUAACCUACUUAAGAAAAAAACUCUUUUGUGAUUGUGUAUUUGUGUUGGUCGAUAAAAUCACACCAUACAGUUAUUAUUUUCAUUUAUUUACAUUUUUAUAUAAACUGAGUAUU